rnacentral:rRNA from 1 species
AGGACGAACGCUGGCGGCGUGCUUAACACAUGCAAGUCGAACGGUGACCCUCGGAGCUUGCUUCGGGGUGAUCAGUGGCGAACGGGUGAGUAACACGUGAGUAACCUGCCCCAGACUCUGGGAUAACCCCGGGAAACCGGAGCUAAUACCGGAUACGACACGGAGAGGCAUCUCUACCGUGUGGAAAGUUUUUCGGUCUGGGAUGGACUCGCGGCCUAUUAGCUUGUUGGUGAGGUAAUGGCUCACCAAGGCGACGACGGGUAGCCGGCCUGAGAGGGCGACCGGCCACACUGGGACUGAGACACGGCCCAGACUCCUACGGGAGGCAGCAGUGGGGAAUAUUGCACAAUGGGCGAAAGCCUGAUGCAGCGACGCCGCGUGAGGGAUGAAGGCCUUCGGGUUGUAAACCUCUUUCAGCAGGGAAGAAGCGAAAGUGACGGUACCUGCAGAAGAAGCACCGGCUAACUACGUGCCAGCAGCCGC